rnacentral:rRNA from 1 species
GGGGUGUUAGGGCACGACACCGGAGAGGGAGCCUGAGAAACGGCUACCACAUCCAAGGAUGGCAGCAGGCGCGCAAAUUACCCAAUCCCGACACGGGGAGGUAGUGACAAUAAAUAACAAUACGGGGUUCUUUGGGAUCUCGUAAUUGGAAUGAGUACAAUUUAAAUCUCUUAACGAGGAACAAUUGGAGGGCAAGUCUGGUGCCAGCAGCCGCGGUAAUUCCAGCUCCAAUAGCGUAUAUUAAAGUUGUUGCAGUUAAAAAGCUCGUAGUUGAAUUUCGGGGUUAGUAGAUUGGUCAUGCCUCUGGUAUGUACUGGUCUCACUGAUUCCUCCUUCCUGAUGAACCUUAAUGCCAUUAAUUUGGUGUUGCGGGGAAUUUGGACUGUUACUUUGAAAAAAUUAGAGUGUUUAAAGCAAGCUAACGCUUGAAUACAUUAGCAUGGAAUAAUGAAAUAGGACGUUCGAUCCUAUUUUGUUGGUUUCUAGGAUUGACGUAAUGAUUAAUAGGGAUAGUUGGGGGCAUUAGUAUUCAAUUGUCAGAGGUGAAAUUCUUGGAUUUAUUGAAGACUAACUACUGCGAAAGCAUUUGCCAAGGAUGUUUUCAUUAAUCAAGAACGAAAGUUAGGGGAUCGAAGACGAUCAGAUACCGUCGUAGUCUUAACCAUAAACUAUGCCGACUAGGGAUCGGAUGAUGUUAA